UCGUGCAUUCCUCUUUCUUUGAUAUUUUGAAAAUGCAGAGAGCAAUAAGGGAGGAGAGUGAUGGCUGAGAGAUUGAAGUGAGGGAGCUCGAGAGAUCAGCCGAGAGAGAUCGAGAGAAUGAGAGAGAUCGAGAUAGAGGGAGAUGUGGGCCGAAGGUAGCAAAGGCGAGCGGUCAUGGCAGGAGCUUCGUUGUUGUUCCAGCCGCUGGUCAGGGGCAGGGGACGUGCGGAGGAGGCUAAUGGCAGUCGUGGUGGCGCGGGGAAUCGUCGAAAAUGGCCGGAGGCGCGGCCAUGACAGCGCAAAGCUGCUGUUGCAGUAGUUAGGCACGGCCAUGGCAGCACGCAGCAGCUGUAAACGGUGAAGUGGGCGAGCGAUGGCAGCUGCUGAGGCGCCCGAGGAGGUCGGUCAAGGGCAGCGAUGUGCGGCCGGUGGUGGCCGCCGAGGGCGGUGCUGCGAGCGGCGGCGGGCGUCGGAGCCUAGCCUGGCAGCGGUGUGUGCAGGCAGCGCUCGGUGAAGAAGAAGGAGGAACAGGAGCCACGCGCACGGGAGAAAGAAAAUGAAGAAGAAAAUAAGAAAAAAGAAAAAAGAAAAAAAAAUAGUAAAGAAAAUUUUGGAAAAUCUGGAAAAAUAGGAAAAAUUCCAGGAAAAUGGGGGAAACUUCUAGAAAUUAAAUUGGGGCUUGAGGAGCGUGUCGGAAGCUCGAAAAUGGGAUUUGGGGCGCAAGUGGCAGCUCAAAAGGCAAUGUCAGUGCCAGCGUUUUUCAAAUUUUUCUCCAGAUGAGUCGAGGUUCGACCAGGAAGGCAGUGAUCCUAGAGGAACUUGAGGUUCAGGCUAGAGUUCGUGCCGAGGCAGAGAUAAGGCUUCGAGCCAGAAUAUUCCACGUUCCAGACAAGACAAGCGGCCAGAAAGACAAAGGGGUGAUCGAGGCGUGAGCAUGAUGGAAGUUGUGAUGGGUCCUAAGCCAAGGCUAGAACAAGUUAUCUAGUUAGAUUGGCUUGCUAUAUUUUUGGUUAUUGUAAUGUUAUGAUGAACAAACAAUAUGUAUGAACUCAUUUAUGUUAUGAUUU